AUGAAUCGUUAGGAUGCUCUUUUUAGAGGUCCGACCCCUUCAUUUCCUUCACCCUGUGCACAUACACCAUUUUAACACCCAUUUUUUUAACACCUGAGUCAUCAGAAUGUAAUAGUCUCUUGAUUGAGCAUAAAAUAUAAUCA
rnacentral:misc_RNA from 1 species